rnacentral:rRNA from 1 species
CUACGGGCGGCUGCAGUAAGGAAUAUUGCGCAAUGGAGGCAACUCUGACGCAGCCAUGCCGCGUGCAGGAAGAAGGCCUUAUGGGUCGCAAACUGCUUUUAUUUAGGAAUAAACCCCCGAACGUGUUCGGGGCUGAAGGUACUAAACGAAUAAGCACCGGCUAACUGCGUGCCAGCAGCCGCGGUAAUACGGAGGGUGCAAGCGUUAUCCGGAUUUAUUGGGUUUAAAGGGUGCGCAGGCGGUCUAUUAAGUCAGUGGUGAAAUCCCGGGGCUCAACUCCGGAACUGCCAUUGAUACUGAUAGUCUUGAGUUUGGUUGAAGUGGGCGGAAUGUAGCAUGUAGCGGUGAAAUGCAUAGAUAUGCUACAGAACACCAAUCGCGAAGGCAGCUCACUAAGCCAAAACUGACGCUCAUGCACGAAAGCGUGGGGAUCAAACAGGAUUAGAUACCCUCGUAGUC